GAUGAACGCUGGCGGGGGGCCUAAUACAUGCAAGUCGAAUGCUCUACUUGUAGAGCAUGGCGGACGGCUGAGUAACACGUUGGUACCUACCUCAUAGUCAGGGAUAACCCAGAGAAAUCUGGAAUAAUACCGGAUAGUCCCGAAAGGGUAAAGAUUUAUCGCUAUGAGAGGGGCCUGCGGCGUAUCAGAUAGUUGGUAAGGUAACGGCUUACCAAGUCUAUGACGCGUAUCGGGUGUGAGAGCAUGACCCGACAGAGUGGGACUGAGACACGGCCCACACUCCUACGGGAGGCAGCAGUAAGGAAUCUUCCACAAUGGGCGAAAGCCUGAUGGAGCCACCCCGCGUGCCUGAUGACACCCUUCGGGGCGUAAAAGGCUUUUCUGAGAGACGAAGUUCUGACGGUAUCUCAGGAAUAAGUGACGGCUAACUCCG
rnacentral:rRNA from 1 species